AUGGCAGCCGAUGUGCCAUGCAGACUGAGGAAGACGCGGAAACUGUGCGGCCACGUGAGCCCUGGCCAUGACCGCAUCGGCAAGUACUGGAAGCACCCGGGAGGCCAGAGAGAUGCUGGUGGCAUGCAUCACCACAGGAUCAACUUUGACAAAUAUCACUCAGGUUACUUGGGGAAAGUUGGUAAAAGGCAUUACCACUUGAACUGGAACCAGAGCUUCUGCCCAAAUGUCAACCUGGAUAAGCUGUGGACGCUGGUCAGUGAGCAGACCUGGGUGAACGCUGCCAAGAACAAAACGAGCGCUGCCCCCAUCAUUGAUGUGGUGAGGUUGGGCUACUAGAAAGUUCUGGGAAAAGGAAAGCUCUCAAAGUUCCCGGUCAUUGUCAAAGCCAAAUUCUUCAGUAGAAAAGCUGAAGAGAAGAAGAUUAAGGACAUUGGGGGAGCCUGUGUCCUGGUGGCUUGAAGCCACUGUUCAUUAAAGUGCUUCUCUGCUG